UUAGCCCUAUCGCAACAGGGCAAGUGCAGGAGGCCGGUCAUGUUUUUCGAUAAUGUGGUUUUUGCCGGAGUGCUGACUGUUAGCCUCAUGGUGCUGUUUUUUGAGAUCGGAAGAGCGUCGUGUAG
rnacentral:sRNA from 1 species